rnacentral:rRNA from 1 species
CACGAAAUAAGUUGAGCUAACUGCUUACAAAUUUAGUUAAUUAUACUUGUGUGUAGCAGAACACUUCCUAGAUAGGUAGUUAGGGGUGAUAGGCCAAGCAAAACUUGUGAUAGCUUGAUCUUGGGUAAAUGUAUUUAGUAUUAAAACAGAUAAGGAUUGAUAAGGCUCUUUAUAAAAAUUAACUAUUUUAAUUAAGGUCUUAUAGCUUUAACCGGCAUUAUAUUAUAAUUUUAAUAUACAAAUAUGUGUGUUUAUUUAAAAGACCUAAGGGGGUUAACCAUACACUAAUCAUAAUGUUAACAUGAGUAGAUUAAAUAGGUCAAUAAAAUGAACUCGGCAAAUAAACCUUUCGACUGUUUACCAAAAACAUAGCUGUGUGAGAUAACACAUAGUUUUUUCUGCUCAAUGAGUUUUAAAUAGCCGCAGUACCCUGACUGUGCAAAGGUAGCAUAAUCAGUUGGCUUAUAAUUGAAGUCUGGAAUGAACGAAUGAACGGAGGGUAGCUGUGUCUUAUUGAGAUUUUGAACUUGCUAAGUAAGUGAAAAUGCUUACGCGAAAAUAAUAGACGAGAAGACCCUAGAAAUUUAAAUUGGCUUUUGUUGGGGCGACAUAAUAGCAAAUUAACCUAUUAAAUGUACAAGUGCUUAAUUAAGGGUAUGAAUAAUUACUCUAGGGAUAACAGCAUAAUUUAUUAAAGAUUGUGACCUCGAUGUUGGACUAGGAAAUUUGAGUCCAGAA